CUUGCGGAUUAUUUCCUUAUUGCGUUACCAAAUAUCAACAAUCUCCUUGCUUGAUUGCUCAUCCUAGUGACAUUGAGUGAGAUUCAAGUGCAUUGCUUUGAGAGUUGCAUUUAGUGGCACUUGAUUUUUGAGUUUGCUGCGGAUUUCUUGUUACUCUUGGGUGUUUCCCGACGCCCUAGACGGCUUGGAGCAGCGGUGGUGUUGAGCUCGUGAUUGGAGAUUGUUUCGAGCCUCACCACGUGACUUGUGAGGGGUUCUUGAGCCUUCCCUGCGGGAGAUCGCAAUUGGCUACUCUAGUGGAUUGCUCGUGGCUUGGAGGAUCCCCAUCUUGUGAGUGGAUGUGCAGCACCCGCUGAGGGUUUGGCUUUGGAUUGCCAAUUAGCUCGUGAUCCAUCAAGUGGGUGUAUCGCCACAACGAGGAGUAGCUUGUCGGUAAGCAAGUGAACCUCGGUAAAAAUCUUGUGUCAUCUCUUGCCGAGGUUUCUCUUGUGUUUGUGCACGUGAUUGAUUGGAUAUAUUUCUACUCUACAAUGUCGGUAUAACAAUCACUCCCCUCUCCUUUACCUUUGUGUAUACCUUACUAGUUGUGUAGCUUGUUUAGCUUAGCUUUCUUGUUUAGGAGUGUAGCAAGCUUCUAGUUGUGCUUUCUUGUUGUAACUAGUGCUUAGCUUUCUUGCUAGAUGUAACACCCUAAAAUUUGCUUGUUUUUAAAAUAGUUGAAUUUGAUUUAUUGAGUCAAUUUUUUUUUGGAGAGCAUUAAAAUAUAGGAAAAAUAAUAAUUUUUGGGAAAUUAAAAUUCAAUAUAAGUUUAGAAAACUUUUUGAUGCAUUCAUGCUGCAACACUUUUAAUUUGUGAUGUGUGAAUUUUUGUAAAAGAAAAUUUGUUUAAAAUUCAAUUUGAAAGAAGCUUUGAAAAUUAGUUUUAAAAAAAUCCAUUUCUUCCUCCCUCUCCCUUCUCGGCCUGCUUGGCCCAAAUCGGCCCGCCAGCGCCCCAUCCCUCCUUCCCUCUUCUCUCUCUGCCAGGCAGGGCCCACCCGUCAGGGCCUUCCCCUUCCUCCAGCAACCGCUCCUUCCCUCUCUCUGUUAUCACGGCAGAGAAGGAACCGCCGAGCCUAAACCCGCUCCCCCACGUUCUCCCCUCCCUGCGCCUCGGCUUCAAGUUGGAGAGCCCCCCCGCGCGCCCGAGCUUUCUUCCCUCUCCCCAUUCCCCUCUCUCCCUGCCCCUGCCUUCGCCUUGGACCGCACAGCAGCCGUAGCGAAGGACGCCGCCGCCGACAUCCGCGCUCAACUCAAAAACCGAGCCGUAUCCGCCCUCGAUUAUCGCCGUGGUGAGCGUGCCUCCUUCCCCUCUCCCUCCUCGGCUUUUUUCCCGUGCGAAACCGUGGCCUCACGAGUUAUUUCCGCGAGCUCCGUCGGGACGUUCAUGGCGUCGCCGUGAACCUUCUCGGAAACCGCCUCCUCGACCGCGUUUAUGGGUUGGAAUGGACUCGCAUCGAUCUCCUCUUUCUCCCGGUUCAAACGGAAUCGAAAACCGUGCACUGUAGCUCCCGAUCCAUUUGCGCCGGCAAGCUUUGGCCGGAAUCCAUGGCCACCACCGUGUCUUUGCCCAGCUCUGGCCGGUGUGCCACCCCUCCCUCUCUCUCUUUUUUUUCUUUUUUUUCUUUUAAUCAUGCGCAUCCAAGCUUGAUCCAACGGCCAUGAUUAGAACUUACCCCUUCGUGGGGAUUUUUAUUAAAGAGCCCCUCGACUUCAUAGAUAUAGAACCCGCAGUCCUCGGCCAACUCCAGAUCCAGAUUGAAAUUUGAUUUAAAUUUCAUUUUCGACUUCAAAUUAAUUACAGAAUUGCCACUGCAAUGUUUUGGCCAUAAAAUAUUCGUUUUAGCUCCGAUUUGACCCGUUCAAAUUGCGUUAGAUUCGUUUUCACGAGAUCUACAUGUUAGUAAUCUUGGUUCAUCAGUUUGAAACAUUUUAAUUUUGUGACCCUAUUUAAUUAAUUAUUUUUCCAAAGAAAAUAUUAGAAAAUUCAUAUCUUCUCUGUUUUAGCUCCGAUUCGAUCCGUUCAAGUUGCGUUAGUUUUAUAAUUUCAUAAGCUUCGCGUUGGUACCAUUGUUGUCUAGGUUCACCACUGUUAGAUUUCCUAGUUAAAUACAAGUCCGUAGAUAGCCUCUGCAGUCCCGGUUAAUGCAUACAUUUCGCGUCGUAACUUCGUUUUUCGUGAAUUUCCCGUUGACGUGAUCGUAGCAGCGUGUAGAUGAUUUUGGAAAACUUUUAUUUACAUUUAUUUACUGCUGGUGUACUGUUCUAAUUGUAAUCUUGUUUGCUUCGUGUAUGUUUGUCUCCGAUUGCUUGUGUGUUGAUGUUUGGUGAUCGAGCCUAGUCAGUGGGCAUUACUUCGGUGAUCAAGAUCAGAGCCUUAGAAGCAAGUAAUUUCAGCAGGACCAGCAGGAGCAAUUGGAUCAAGGCAAGUAUAGCAUUUGGGUUUUAAUUCUAUGACCAUAAUCUUGUGACUAGAUCGAUAUAAAGCAACAAAUGAUAAUAAUGACUUUUUAGCAACUUGAGGAUUUAUUCGUAAGUGAUAACCGGGAUGAAAGUGCAACCAUGAGGGCUAUAAUGGCUCUGGCUUUAGUCAAGUAUGAGUAAUUUUUCUAGCUUGUUAGAGGUUACCCGUGUGGCGCAAAUGGGGGAUAGCAGACCGAGGAUUCCCUACGAGUGGUAGAAUCACACGGACUGACUAACGAAACCAAGCGGCCCUAACUUGUUAGACGAACCUUUGAAAGACUUCAUAGUGAUCCCUGCCGACCUACCUUGGUAGUGGGUUACGAGGCUGAUCACCUCAGGCGAAAGGAUAAAUCAUGACUCAUGGGUAAAGAUGUACAACCUCUGCAGAGUGUUAAAAACUGGUAUACUAGCCGUGCUCACGGUCACGAGCGGCCUUGGGAACUCUUACAUUAAGGGUGAUGAAUCUUGUGUU
rnacentral:lncRNA from 1 species